ACCAAUAUAAAAAGAAGAUGUGGUAUGAUUUCCAAUGAGACAACUAUCCACAAAAGACCAAAAUGACACAGACAUUAACAACUAUAGGUCACCGUACGGCCUUCAACAAUGAGCAAAGCCCAUACUGCAUAGUCAGCUAUAAAAGGCCCCGAUAAGACAAUGUAAAACAAUUCAAACGAGAAAACUAACGGCCUUACUUAUGUAAUAAAAAUGAACGAAAAACAAAUAUGUAACACGUAAACAAACGA
rnacentral:lncRNA from 1 species